rnacentral:lncRNA from 1 species
UUUAAGACUUAUUAACGAAAGCGUCAAGCAAAAUUGAAAAUUGAUUAGAUUAUAACACCUACAAAUAUUAAAUCUAGGUGGUUAAAGACAAAACCUAUAGGCAUGAUUUCUAAAAAAUUAUAAUGAACAAAUAAACAUAUAAAUCCCCCUCCCCUAGACGACCCCCAAAUAAAUUUAUUAUAUGAUAUUUAGAGUUACAAUUGUUACAACAUUUGAAUAAAUAAAAUAGACAAAAAAUAAAAUAUAUAUAUAAAUUCAAAUAAACAAAUAAAUCUUUCUUCAAUCAAUCUUCAACUUGAACUUCAAGUUUGAAACCUGUCAAAGUAAUCAAAUAACUACACGAGUAAUCACACUUAUUAGUCGAGGUGAGACGAUAUGCAAUUAUUUAAUGACGAAUUCUAAAAAAAAAAACAGACAAUAGCUUACACAAAUAUGUGAAUUUGAAGAUAGUGUAGAUGUUAGGAAUACUAACCGGUUAAGCAAAACAAAUUGAUUCACCUUUUACUCGAACAAAGUAGCAAAAUAGCGAAGAACACUUGAAUAUUUAUCGGAAUAUUAAUGUGUUGUUAAAGUAGCAAGAGAGCAGUGAGAGAAGAGAGAGUGAUGAGAGAAUUUUUAUUGAGAGUGAAUGAGUGUGUGAAUGAAUAAAAGGAGUCUCUUUAUAUAGUACAGGAGGGGGAACAAAUAAGGGAAAUAAAUAUUUCAAGUAAUCAAUCAAAAUACAAUUUUCCUUAUUUUAAAGGAUAUCCAAAUCAGAAAAUAUUUCAUUACCAAAUAUAAACAAGUAAGAAUAAAUUAAUAUGGAGUAAUAUUUAUUUUUCCUUAAAUAAGAGGAGCCAAAAUUAAGGAAACAAACUGAUUUUAAGUUAAUUAAAUAUUUUUUCCGUUAACAAGUGGAGAGUAAGAAAUCACGUAAAAUCCUUAACCUUAAUUAAUAACAUAACUACUAUAUGCAAAUCAAGCAAGAAAUCAAUCACAUUUAUCAAAUAAGCAAUUAAUGAAUUACUAAAUUUGAAGAGCUAACAAUAUGUCAAGUCUUAAAUUAAACAAAGAGACAAAUAAACACAAACCAUAAAAGGCAAAGAGUUGAUUGUGCAAUAACUUAUGAUUUAUUUUCUUAGCAAGAAGAGAAAAUCGGCUAAAUCUAUUUAAGGCGAGGGAACACUCAUUAACCGUAAAAACUAUAUUAAAGGAAGACUGUACUAAAGAAAGAAAUAAUCCCAUGGACAAUCUACCAGAUAGAGACAAAUCUAUAAUAAUUAAAAAAAUGGGUGAUUAAUCAUUUAAAUGUAAACAAGAGUUCUCACGAGAUGAUUAAUUGUAAUAGGACACAUAGUCCAAAACUUAAGUAAGGCAAAUUACAACAUACUCAAAUGACCAAUUUUAACCCACUUAUUAUGGUGGAUCCAUUGACAAUAAGUAAUCACAUAAAAUUCAUACCAACAUUAAAAAGUAAAUCCGACUCAUACUACAAACCAUGAACACAACAGUAGAAGAGAAAGUAAAGAAUUUUGCAUCAACUAAACAACUGAGCAACAAAAUGACUAUAUUCAAUCAAAGUAUCAAAAAAAAUCAAACAUGAAAAAAAAAACCUUGUCAUUCUAACUAGCAAUUCAAAUUGAAGACUAAAAUGAUUUUUAUAUGUACUAAACGUGCAUAUAAUUGUUAAACCAAAGUUAUACCACAAUUAAAUAAUGAAUUGGUCAAGAGAUAAAAUAACAAACUGUAAGAAUGUACCUGACGAAUCUGUUAAAAGAUCCGUCUUUCGACCAACUUGGAGCCUUCAAUGGGUUCAUCCGGAGUUCGCCUUGCUCGUUGACCGGAGAUAUCGCGACAUAGGAGGUCGCUGCUUUAUAGUUUUUGUCGCUGCUGCUGCUGGCCGAUGUAAGCUGCUGCUGGUCCUUUAAAAAAAUAGAAGAGAGAAAAGGUAAAAGAAGGGGGAGGGAGGCAGAGACGGGGAAGAGAGGAGAGACGGGUGGCGCUGGGCUGCUGAAGAAGCUGUUGCUGCUCCUGGUUUCGCCGGUGGUCGCUGCUGCGUGCGCUGUUUGUUGCAGCUGCUGGUGGCUGUCGCCGGCUGCUGCUGCGUGGUGGCUGUCGCCGGUUGCUGCUACCUGCAAAGAGAAAAGGAAAGGGAAGAGGAUAGGAACGGGAAGAGGAGAGAUGGGAGGGGAAGAGAGAGAGGAGAGGAACGGGAAGAGGAGAGACGGGAGGGAAGAGAGAGAGGAGAGGCGGCUUGUAGAGGGGAGAGAAGAGAAUGAGAAUUAUUUUAGGGAUUAGAGUCUUUUAGGUUAAAAUAUGUAGAUUAAAUCUGGACCAUUGAUUUUAGAAG